AGACUUUGUGUAAUGACUGGGGGAAAAAGAAAAAAAGAAAGGAAAAAAAGACAAGCAGCUGGGUGAAAGGCUUCAGAGUGGUUUACUUCUGAAGAAUCACUUGCCUGGAUUUCAGCAACUGCCUUUGGGAAGAGCCUGGAACAACACAUCUGCUGACACCCCUGUGUAAUCAAAGGGAGGGUGAGUAUAUUUGGGACUGAUGACCCUGAAAUAGGACUUGGGGGCAUCAUAUGUCCGAGGUAUUUAUAGGAAUCCCAUCUUGGGACUGUAUCUAAUUGCCAAUGUAUCCAUCAAAACUUCGUGUUCCCUUCCUUCCUAGCAUUCCUGUUUGAUCUGUCAGUCCCUCUUGGCCUUUUAACUCCCACAUUUCUUGGUGGGGAUGUGAUAGCUAGCCCAGAUUAAGCCCAGUUCUGGCCUUUCUUUGGGAGGGUGCUGGAGGAAAACAUGAGUUGAACUGAAGCUCCAAUACAGGUCAUCCAAUGCACGGUUUAGAAAUCCGGUUGCAGACUGAACUUAAGCAUUGCUGCUCAGUUCCCUUUCUAUUUUCAAAUUCAUUAUUACAAAGAAAGCCCUGCCAGUCACUGCUCAGGGCAGAAGGCUUCUAACCUGCUUUACCCCACUAUCCCAGCUGUUAGUAACUUAAG
rnacentral:lncRNA from 1 species